ensembl:lncRNA
ACUGUUGUUGUUUUGCCUUUAGCCACCCUUAUACAAUCUUGGACACACCCCUGCUUUGGAUCCUGGUGUGUAUCAGAAACAUGCAUUUCUUUCACUUCAGAAGAUGAAUACAGAUGCUGACGUUGUUUCGGCUUGGAUUAAUUGAUAGUUUUUUAAAAUAACCAUUUUUUUUGUUCACAGCACAGUUAAGCAGUCCAGUCAGAGAGCAAUGGAACUGGAUAGAAGAGCGAUGGAACUGGAUAGAAGAGCAAUGGAACUGGAUAGAAGAGAGAUGGAACCGAAGACAAGAGCUCCUACGUGUUGUGGUUGCUGCUUCAUUCAAAUAGCAUCAGAGAAAAGAGAUGAAUCUACUAACAUAAUCAAUUCACAAGUUAGUACUGAAAACACAUCACAUACUGAAGGUAGGUUAAGUUUGACUUUCAAGUCAGGCAUUCUGUAACCUAUCAGACCCUCACACUCACCAGACUUCUGAUCACUGUAAUGUCUGUUUUGGGUUUUGUUUCAUGUUCAUGUUUUCAUGUCUUUUAUUUUGUUAUUGUUUGAUUUUGCUGUUUGUGUCAUGCUUCCCUUGCCCUCAUGUAUCUCUGCUUUGUGUAUGUGUCAUGUUCUCAUUGGUUAUUGUCUGGUCAUGUGAUUAUCAGUUGUGUUUGUUCUCAUUGGUUGCUUUAGUCAUGUGUCUUGUUCCCAUUGGUUUGCUCUUGUCAUGUGACCCUCAUUGUUUGUAUAAGUAGUCAUGUUUUUGUCAUUAGCGCUUGUCGUGUAUUAACGUUGUAACCUGCUAUCGGUAAGUCAAGUCAAGUCAAGUCAAGUCAAGUCAAGUCAAGUCAAGUCAAGUCAAGUCAAGUCAAGUCAAGUCAAGUCUUUGUUUACUGUUUGGAUUAUAUUUGGAUUUUGGAUUGUACCAUUGUGAAUAAAACUGCACUUGGGUUCAUCGCUACGCUUGCCUUCAGUGGACAGAAUACACGACCCUAAAAAUGAACCCAGCAGUUGUUCGUCUCCUGCGUCUUAGCCAAGGAAACCAGGCCAUUGAGGACUAUGUGGAGGACUUUUGUGGUUUGUGUCAUCUGGUGGAUUUUAAUGAUGUGGCCCUUAAGGACAUAUUUCGGGUGGGUCUUAAUGAGCCCAUUUGCUCUCAGCUUCCUGGGGGAAAAAUUCACUGGUCCCUGGAGGAAUAUAUUGACCAUGCUCUUUUCCUGGCUGGUUCAUCAUUUACUGUGGGGAUUGCUGAUGAGGAACACAGCUAUCCCACAGUACCCGCCACAUCAGAACUUUUCCACGUCCCAACCGUCAUGUCAGGAGUUGUUCACGUCACGCCAGCCAAGCCAAGGCCUACUCACACCAUGUCUGCCAAGCCACAGCCUGCUCACGUCAUGCCUGCCAAGCCAGCACCUGUUCACGUCAUGCCUGCUACGCCAGAGCCUACUCACAUCUUAAUAUGUUGUGUUAUUCUAUUAUAUAUAUAAUGUUAAUUACUCAAUAUGGUAUUAUCUUGUUUAAACUAUUAUGUAUGACUAUGAAAGUAAUCAAUAUACUGAUCAAUAUGCUGAAUUAUUCCCAAAUACUCUUUGGCUGUAUAAAGGCCCUCCCAUUGGGUAGUACUGCUAGUUUUCCAUUGAACUGCACCUGUUAACUGAAGUAACACUAUGACUUUGGGUGAGUUCCAGAAGUUGACAGAUUUGAUGAAUGUGUUCUGGGAUCACUGCCUACCAGUAGUAGGUGGCAAAAUGAAAGUUUUCUUAAAAAUGGUUGAUAAGGCCAAGUUUCACCAAUAAAAAAUGGACCAGCUGGGCAAGUAAUAAAUUGUGGAAAACCAGACA